CCGUUAGGGGUGUUAUUCCUAGCCGGGAUGACUGAGAUAAUACCCUAAUAACCUGAUCUGGAUAAUGCCAGCGUAGGGAAACGGG
rnacentral:ncRNA from 1 species